GUAGCCAAGGAUGACUUGCCCGCUACACUGAGAAGGCAUUGAUCUUGUUUGCUGUUAGAACUUUUUUUUGGCUUUGGGCAAUCAUCCUUGGUUAU
rnacentral:pre_miRNA from 1 species